UCCGUAGGCGGGCCUGUAAGUCAGUGGUGAAAUCUCAUAGCUUAACUAUGAAACUGCCAUUGAUACUGCAGGCCUUGAGUAAAUUUGAAGUGGCUGGAAUAAGUAGUGUAGCGGUGAAAUGCAUAGAUAUUACUUAGAACACCGAUUGCGAAGGCAGGUCACUAAGAUUUAACUGACGCUGAUGGACGAAAGCGUGGGGGAGCGAACA
rnacentral:rRNA from 1 species